rnacentral:lncRNA from 1 species
CUUCGAGUAAUAGUCUCUCAUAGUCUCUCAUCCACGUUUUGAUCUCCUAUUUCUCCGUGCACUCCAACAAAAACCUAAUAUGUUCCUCUUACAUUUCACUCAUCUUUUUUAUUUAAUAUCUUUGUGGACUUUUUGCUUAUGAGCUGAGGUUGGUUUGGGCUCUAGAUGCUAUUGGACUAUAAGUGUAACGCCCGUAAAAUUCACCAAUCGAAAUCACACGCUAAAAAUCGUUUUCAAAAACUUUUUAUCGCUUGAGCUCCCAAAUUUCCCUUCCCGGCGAAUUCGCCGUUCCGACACCGAAGCCGACCGCCGUCCACCUAUUUUCCCCUUUUUCCUCCCCGCAGGUUACGCCGUGUGCCGGACAGAAGAUCGUCGUGCGUGCCUGCGACCAAUCCUGCAAUCACCGUCGUGUCUCUCUUUUCUUCUUCUCAUUUUACUUCCCCCUUUUCCCUUCCUUUUUCUCCCUUUUUCUUCUCUUCCUUAUUUCCCUUCUUUUCUUUUCUUUUCUCCCUUCCUUUUUCUUUUUCUUUUUCCCUUCCUCCCUUUUUUUCUAUCUCCUGCCGCACAUGACUCAUUUUCCUAGCCGCACGCAUCUCACCAGCACCUGCCGCUCAGCAUGCUUCCCCUGGGCCCGUGCUUGUCCCUCCCUAGCGCAGCACCGCGCCUAGCCCCUAGCGAUGGC